rnacentral:rRNA from 1 species
UAGGUUAAUGAGGCGAACCGGGGGAACUGAAACAUCUAAGUACCCCGAGGAAAAGAAAUCAACCGAGAUUCCCCCAGUAGCGGCGAGCGAACGGGGAGCAGCCCAGAGCCUGAAUCAGUGUGUGUGUUAGUGGAAGCGUCUGGAAAGGCGCGCGAUACAGGGUGACAGCCCCGUACACAAAAAUGCACAUGCUGUGAGCUCGAUGAGUAGGGCGGGACACGUGGUAUCCUGUCUGAAUAUGGGGGGACCAUCCUCCAAGGCUAAAUACUCCUGACUGACCGAUAGUGAACCAGUACCGUGAGGGAAAGGCGAAAAGAACCCCGGCGAGGGGAGUGAAAAAGAACCUGAAACCGUGUACGUACAAGCAGUGGGAGCCUCUUUUAUGGGGUGACUGCGUACCUUUUGUAUAAUGGGUCAGCGACUUAUAUUCUGUAGCAAGGUUAACCGAAUAGGGGAGCCGAAGGGAAACCGAGUCUUAACUGGGCGUUAAGUUGCAGGGUAUAGACCCGAAACCCGGUGAUCUAGCCAUGGGCAGGUUGAAGGUUGGGUAACACUAACUGGAGGACCGAACCGACUAAUGUUGAAAAAUUAGCGGAUGACUUGUGGCUGGGGGUGAAAGGCCAAUCAAACCGGGAGAUAGCUGGUUCUCCCCGAAAGCUAUUUAGGUAGCGCCUCGUGAAUUCAUCUCCGGGGGUAGAGCACUGUUUCGGCAAGGGGGUCAUCCCGACUUACCAACCCGAUGCAAACUGCGAAUACCGGAGAAUGUUAUCACGGGAGACACACGGCGGGUGCUAACGUCCGUCGUGAAGAGGGAAACAACCCAGACCGCCAGCUAAGGUCCCAAAGUCAUGGUUAAGUGGGAAACGAUGUGGGAAGGCCCAGACAGCCAGGAUGUUGGCUUAGAAGCAGCCAUCAUUUAAAGAAAGCGUAAUAGCUCACUGGUCGAGUCGGCCUGCGCGGAAGAUGUAACGGGGCUAAACCAUGCACCGAAGCUGCGGCAGCGACGCUUAUGCGUUGUUGGGUAGGGGAGCGUUCUGUAAGCCUGCGAAGGUGUGCUGUGAGGCAUGCUGGAGGUAUCAGAAGUGCGAAUGCUGACAUAAGUAACGAUAAAGCGGGUGAAAAGCCCGCUCGCCGGAAGACCAAGGGUUCCUGUCCAACGUUAAUCGGGGCAGGGUGAGUCGACCCCUAAGGCGAGGCCGAAAGGCGUAGUCGAUGGGAAACAGGUUAAUAUUCCUGUACUUGGUGUUACUGCGAAGGGGGGACGGAGAAGGCUAUGUUGGCCGGGCGACGGUUGUCCCGGUUUAAGCGUGUAGGCUGAUUUUCCAGGCAAAUCCGGAAAAUCAAGGCUGAGGCGUGAUGACGAGGCACUACGGUGCUGAAGCAACAAAUGCCCUGCUUCCAGGAAAAGCCUCUAAGCAUCAGGUAACAUCAAAUCGUACCCCAAACCGACACAGGUGGUCAGGUAGAGAAUACCAAGGCGCUUGAGAGAACUCGGGUGAAGGAACUAGGCAAAAUGGUGCCGUAACUUCGGGAGAAGGCACGCUGAUAUGUAGGUGAAGCGACUUGCUCGUGGAGCUGAAAUCAGUCGAAGAUACCAGCUGGCUGCAACUGUUUAUUAAAAACACAGCACUGUGCAAACACGAAAGUGGACGUAUACGGUGUGACGCCUGCCCGGUGCCGGAAGGUUAAUUGAUGGGGUUAGCGGUAACGCGAAGCUCUUGAUCGAAGCCCCGGUAAACGGCGGCCGUAACUAUAACGGUCCUAAGGUAGCGAAAUUCCUUGUCGGGUAAGUUCCGACCUGCACGAAUGGCGUAAUGAUGGCCAGGCUGUCUCCACCCGAGACUCAGUGAAAUUGAACUCGCUGUGAAGAUGCAGUGUACCCGCGGCAAGACGGAAAGACCCCGUGAACCUUUACUAUAGCUUGACACUGAACAUUGAGCCUUGAUGUGUAGGAUAGGUGGGAGGCUUUGAAGUGUGGACGCCAGUCUGCAUGGAGCCGGCCUUGAAAUACCACCCUUUAAUGUUUGAUGUUCUAACGUUGGCCCCUGAUCGGGGUUGCGGACAGUGUCUGGUGGGUAGUUUGACUGGGGCGGUCUCCUCCUAAAGAGUAACGGAGGAGCACGAAGGUUGGCUAAUCCUGGUCGGACAUCAGGAGGUUAGUGCAAUGGCAUAAGCCAGCUUGACUGCGAGCGUGACGGCGCGAGCAGGUGCGAAAGCAGGUCAUAGUGAUCCGGUGGUUCUGAAUGGAAGGGCCAUCGCUCAACGGAUAAAAGGUACUCCGGGGAUAACAGGCUGAUACCGCCCAAGAGUUCAUAUCGACGGCGGUGUUUGGCACCUCGAUGUCGGCUCAUCACAUCCUGGGGCUGAAGUAGGUCCCAAGGGUAUGGCUGUUCGCCAUUUAAAGUGGUACGCGAGCUGGGUUUAGAACGUCGUGAGACAGUUCGGUCCCUAUCUGCCGUGGGCGCUGGAGAACUGAGGGGGGCUGCUCCUAGUACGAGAGGACCGGAGUGGACGCAUCACUGGUGUUCGGGUUGUCAUGCCAAUGGCACUGCCCGGUAGCUAAAUGCGGAAGAGAUAAGUGCUGAAAGCAUCUAAGCACGAAACUUGCCCCGAGAUGAGUUCUCCCUGAGACUUAGAGUCUCCUGAAGGAACGUUGAAGACGACGACGUUGAUAGGCCGGGUGUGUAAGCGCAGCGAUGCGUUGAGCUAACCGGUACUAAUGAACCGUGAGGCUUAACCUU